rnacentral:rRNA from 1 species
GGGAGGCCUAAACUGCAGUCGAGCGAACCACUUCGGUGGGAAGCGGCGAACGGGUGAGUAACACGUAGGUGAUCUGCUCAUCAGACGGGGACAACGAUUGGAAACGAUCGCUAAUACCGGAUAGGACGAAAGUUUAAAGAUGCUUCUGGCAUCACUGAUGGAUGAGCCUGCGGCGCAUUAGCUAGUUGGUGGGGUAAAGGCCUACCAAGGCGACGAUGCGUAGCCGGACUGAGAGGUUGAACGGCCACAUUGGGACUGAGAUACGGCCCAGACUCCUACGGGAGGCAGCAGUCGGAAAUAUUGCGCAAUGGAGGAAACUCUGACGCAGUGACGCCGCGUAUAGGAAGAAGGUUUUCGGAUUGUAAACUAUUGUCGUUAGGGAAGAGAAAGGACAGUACCUAAGGAGGAAGCUCCGGCUAACUACGUGCCAGCAGCCGCGGUAAUACGUAGGGAGCGAGCGUUAUCCGGAAUUAUUGGGUGUAAAGGGUGCGUAGACGGGAAAGCAAGUUAGUUGUGAAAUCCCUCGGCUUAACUGAGGAACUGCAACUAAAACUACUUUUCUUGAGUGCAGGAGAGGUAAGUGGAAUUCCUAGUGUAGCGGUGAAAUACGUAGAUAUUAGGAGGAACACCAGUGGCGAAGGCGACUUACUGGACUGUAACUGACGUUGAGGCACGAAAGUGUGGGGAGCAAACAGGAUUAGAUACCCUGGUAGUCCACACCGUAAACGAUGGAUACUAGGUGUAGGAGAU